GCUUUCCCUCCAGAGUGGAUCCUGAGUACGGCGGAACACGUGAAAUUCCGUCGGAAUCCGGGAGGACCAUCUCCCAAGGCUAAAUACUCCCUAGUGACCGAUAGUGAACCAGUACCGUGAGGGAAAGGUGAAAAGCACCCCGGAAGGGGAGUGAAACAGUUCCUGAAACCGUGUGCCUACAAGUAGUUAGAGCCCGUUAAUGGGUGAUAGCGUGCCUUUUGUAGAAUGAACCGGCGAGUUACGAUUUGUUGCAAGGUUAAGCGGAAAAAGCGGAGCCGUAGCGAAAGCGAGUCUGAAUAGGGCGCAUAAGUAACAGGUCGUAGACCCGAAACCAGGUGAUCUACCCAUGUCCAGGAUGAAGGUAAGGUAAUACUUACUGGAGGUCCGAACCCACGCACGUUGAAAAGUGCGGGGAUGAGGUGUGGGUAGCGGAGAAAUUCCAAUCGAACUUGGAGAUAGCUGGUUCUCUCCGAAAUAGCUUUAGGGCUAGCCUCGAGGUAAAGAGUCAUGGAGGUAGAGCACUGUUUGGACUAGGGGCCCUUCUCGGGUUACCGAAUUCAGAUAAACUCCGAAUGCCAUGUACUUAUACUCGGGAGUCAGACUGCGAGUGAUAAGAUCCGUAGUCGAAAGGGAAACAGCCCAGACCACCAGUUAAGGUCCCCAAAUAUAUGUUAAGUGGAAAAGGAUGUGGGGUUGCUUAGACAACCAGGAUGUUGGCUUAGAAGCAGCCACCAUUGAAAGAGUGCGUAAUAGCUCACUGGUCGAGUGACCCCGCGCCGAAAAUGUACCGGGGCUAAACAUAUUACCGAAACUGUGGAUGAACCUCUUUGGAGGUUCGUGGUAGGAGAGCGUUCUAAGGGCGGUGAAGUCAGACCGGAAGGACUGGUGGAGCGCUUAGAAGUGAGA
rnacentral:rRNA from 1 species